AACUCUUAGCGGUGGAUCACUCGGCUCGUGCAUCAAUGAAGAACACAGCUAGCUGCGAGAACUAAUGCACCUAUGCUGAUUAUUUGUUUCUGUUGGCCUCAGAUCAAGUUAAACCAAAGCUGUUGUCGAAUGUCA
rnacentral:rRNA from 1 species